AGAUGUCAGGGCAAACUGGUGAUUUGACUGGCUAGGCAGGUGUCCCCUUCCUCCCUCACGGGUACAUGUGCAUCCCUCCUGAAACAGCACGCUUGGCCAAGGAAGACAACCUUCCCCAAUAGGAGAGAACCAUUCUUUGGUCAAGGGUAGCUGUGCUCCCCUGCUAGAACUUUCAAAGAAGCUCUCAUGUACAGAAAUGCCACAAUGAAAUACCCUGUAUAACUAUUAUAUACUAAUGAAAAUGUUCAAAACUGAUUAUUU
rnacentral:snRNA from 1 species